rnacentral:lncRNA from 1 species
CAAACAGGGGGUCUUAGGUGGAACCUGGGCAUGGGUGAGGUGCUACGGAUAUAAAUUAGGUGGUUUGGCAUAAGAUUCUGGAUUUUAGCUUCCUCUUAAAAACAAACAAACAAAACCAAACUCUUAGUCCUGGGCUGGAAGCCCUGUAUUACUUACUUUGCUGGACCUUGAGUCUCAGGUCCUUUCAAGAAGGCAGUGAAUUUACCCCUUGCCUUCCAGUCCUCAUCAUUCAUUUCCUUAACCUUGACUGUUGGUAUUUGAAUGAUUUGUGUCCUUGGGUCUCUCUCUGUCUCUCUCUCUCAAUUUGCACCCCUCCCCCCAGCCUUCUCAUACGAACUCAUCUUUGGCUGAAGGCACUGUCAUCUGGUGCAGAAAGUAAGGUCUUUUGAGUAGGAGAACCUUAUUUAAAUCCCGGCUCUGUGUUCACUAAACUGAGUUCCUUCAGAUGAAGGCCUUUGCAUUUCUCAUCACUCUUUCCACAGCUGAGACUCACCUGAUCCCACAUUGCAGGCUGGCGGGAGCCCCGCACAAUCCUUGGCACAAGGCGAAUGCUUAAUAAAUAUUAGUUUCCCAUGCUCUCAUUCUGCUCUCAGUGGAGGCAGUGAAGGAUGUUGGCGUUAGCCAGUGUCACAGGCUCGUUACCCUGCAAGGCCCCUGGGGAGUUUGUCUUGUUUCUUUCUCUGCCUCCAGCUUAAUUCUCCCACGCAGGUGAAAUUCAGAGAGGUAAACCUACGGGCUCAAGGUUACUCAGUAAAUAACAAAUAAACCCAGGUGUCCUGGGCUUUCAGCCGAGAGCUCAUUUCACUCGGGACAGCCUGCCAGACCCACACAGAUUCUUUCCAGCAGAACUGAAGACGUGGGGAGCGUGGGAUUUCUGUUGCUUGGGGCUUGACAAAACGGUUGCAGACAAUGAGUGGUUUGAAAGUCUGAAAAGAAGCAUCAGGGAGUGAUCUGAAUUAAUCACACAAUUGUUGCAAGAUGUAGCCAGGGUGUUAAUAAGCUCUGCUCUGCCUUUCACUCUUUAGUGAUGCAGUUCACACAGACUUCCCUUUAAUAUGCCUCUGCUUCCUUUUUGGGGGUGACUAUGCAAUAAAGGCGUGCCAUCUAGGUCAGCAACUUAAUCAUCGCUGGCUGAGUCUUAAAGGGAAGUAAAAUAAUCUCAAAUAGCUGAGCCAGGCUCUUCUUCCCACCACCAGGAUCCCUUAUGGACCAUGUGGCCAUCAGACAUGUGUCUUCACUUGCAAAUGGCUUCAGGGAUAUGGUUGUGUGGAGGCUGGGUAGGUUCUUGGGAAGUGAUGCCAUCUUGCCAUAAGGUGAUUAAAGGUCUUGAGGUCUGGGAGUUAAAAGACCAAGAUUCCAGCCCACCCCUGCUACCAAGGAUCUGUGUGACCCUGGACAAGUCACUUCCCAUCUGUAGCUCUUAGUUUUCUUGUUUGGCAAAGGGAUGGAGCUGGCGAAGACAGACUCUGAGGCUCCUUACAGCUCUAGCAGCCUUAGAUGACUCUUCAGGCAGAGCUUAACUCCUCAGAAGGUUGUAGAGAGACCUGGGAAAGGACCCGGAGCAGGUUGCGGAAGGGCAGUAGGAAGGUUAUGAUGCUAGGAUGGAUCAGAGAGAGAGAGGCAGGGGUCAAGGAAUCAGAUUCCAUGACUUGUUAUCUGUAACCCUUGGGGAUCCCAGUGAGCUUGAAGAAUGCCAGGCUGCUGAGUCGUUUGGGCUGAACACAGGGCAGUGGUCAGGAGACGGGGCAGUGGAGGUGGGCGAUGAAGUGGUGAGGCAGGAAGCAGGAGGCUUUGCAGUUCCAUCUUUAGGGUUGUAGUCUGAGCUGGGCAUCCUCUGGAAGCAGGGGACUUAUCUACCUCAGAAAUACAGAUGUGGGAAGAUUGAGUCAGGGAUGAGAUUUUAACAAGACUCACUUGUGCUGCUUGGUUGGGGUCCGACCAGAGCCAGGCGUGAGUAGAAAAGAAAUGGUGUUGGAUUUCUCUCUUGUAAUUGAUAUUUCUGACAAAGCAUGUUGUCUCUCUGAAUCUCUGGGGUUGAUGUCCUUCCUGGGGCUGACCUGAUUCUAUUCCCGGAGUAUAUCCCAGGAUUUGAAUAGAGAGGCUUUAGCCGGAGCCAGAAACAACGCAUGGAUAUUGAUGGUUUUUGCAAUGCGACCUUGAACUUGGCUCAAGACCUCCACAAAAUGGAACUCAGCAUUUCUCCUGUGGCCUGUAGAGCUGCAGAGCUCCUGGAGCGGCCCAAUAGCUUGAGAAUUAGAAAAGCCCUGUGGAGAGGCAGAGGCAGCUUCGAACUGGAUUGGAUGGGCAGUGGUUCUGCUAAGGAUCCAAGCCACCCAUGCCCUGCCUUGCUUUUCUUGAAGACGUGAUUCACGUUGCACCCCUGCAGAUGCUUCUUCUAGCACCUGCUCAUUCCUUUGUCCACCUCCGUCACCAUCGUGACUUAAUUCUCUCUUCCUGCCUUCCUCUGCCCAUCCUCUCUGCUGCUCUGUGGCCUUCAUCACCUCCCCUCCACCCCUCGCCCGAGACGCUCUAGCUCAUGUGAUCUCAUUUGCGCUGACCUGCUGUGGCUGUUACAGUCUGAACCCUCCAGGCUAGCUUUUAGUUCCGUCUUGUUCUGUACUGGUCUCUAAGGGUCUCACAUGUGUUCUUUGCUUCUUCACAAUCUCUCCAGAUCGUAGGAUCUUGGGGCCAGGCACCACAUUGUCUUGACUCAUGCCCUGGCCCCAGCUUGCAUGCCUCAGAGUAUCUGUUAGUUCCUGCUCCCAGAUUUGGUACUAGACGUUCCUCGACCUCCACUCACUUCCCCCAGCUCCCGCUUUGCUCCCGUCUAUGACAAACUUCCCUUUUCAGCUGGGGCUCUGCCGCUGCCCUAGCAUGCCUGCUGCAAAUCAGCUUGAAGUAAGCUGUCUGGAAGUGCCCUGAUGAGUCAGUUGGGCCCCUCCUUGGAGACAAGGAAUUCUGAAGUCUUGCAGGCACAUGCCUGCCCAUCUGUGCAACGAUUCCACAGCCUACCCCUCUUGCCUCUGGGAAUGCAGCUCUCUUUCACCUUGCUCCGGGAAGCUUCUUCCCUCCUCUGCUGGCUGCCCUGACUUGUCAGGUGGAGCUGGCAGGGCAGCUCUGAAGAGCCAGCCUCUGGUGGGCAGAGGCAGAGCAUUGUGGGAUUCUGGUGGGUUUACCUGGGUAAACCUAAGAGAAAGAGGAGAAACCGCUGAGUCAUGGCUUUUGUAAAGCCUUCUCUCCAAGAGAGUGAAGAGUCGGGUGGGGAAGAAGAGGCCAAGGCUCUGGUGUGGCUUGGCCACCGAUUAGCUGUGUCACUUCAUGUGACUCAGUUAUCCUCUCUCACGCUCACUUGACUUCCUCUUCUGUAAAGCAAGCUUGUUGGAUUGGAGCAGUAGCUUUCAGAUUUAGAAGACAAAGGAACCCUUUUAUCAAAUGAAAUCUUACGAAGAAUUUUAAUUUCUAUAACAGAGAAGCAAGGCCAUCCUGGUUGAAGCUGGGGUACAGAGAGGGUCUUGGUUUCCUCCUGAUCUUUCCAGAACCUUAUUAGCACUUCCCAGGAGCCUGGUUUGAAGAGCACUGAGAGAGAGAGGUUCCCUUUGGCCAUCCCAGCUCUGACCGUUGCAGUGUGGUCCUUGAGGCAGCAGAAGCACCCGGGAGCUGGUUAGGAAGGCAGCAUUUCGGGUUCCUCCCUUGAAGCCUACUGAAGCAGAAUCUGCACCCCCAGAUUCACAGACCCCCAGGUUUGAGAAGCACAGGUCUGUUCAGUUCUGUGACCCCAAGAGCUAGGUGACAAAGGGACCCAGGGGACUGAACGUCUUUCCUGGUAUUAUCUGGCCUGGUCACCUGGGGUUGGGGGUGUGGGCCACAUCCCCUUCUUGUGACUUCCUGUGCUUGGGUGCGUUGAUUGCCACCUGGAUGGGGAACCAGCUGUGGGGACAGCGAGGCUUGUCCUCGGGCUUGGCGGAGGAGGGCCCAGAGGGGGCGCCUCUUGGCUCUGCAGAAUGUAUUUCCUGUAGGAAAUGGCUGGAGAAACAGCCCUUCAAAGGGGGAUUUGUGUUGCCAGGAAGGACGUGCUCCCUGCAGACGCCUUACGAGCAGGACUUUACUAGGCAUUUUGCUUUCUUUUCUCCUUCCUUCCUUUCUCUUUCUCUCUUUCUUUCUCUCCCUCUCUCCCUCUCCUCUCUAUCUUUCUUCUUUUUUUCUCUAACCUGUUUCCCUUUCUCUCUGUCUCUUUUUCUUUUUAGGGCCACACUCGUGGCACAUGGAAGUUCCCAGGCUAGGGGUUGAAUCAGAGCUGCAGCUGCUGGCCCACACCACAGCCACAGUGAGGUGGGAUCCAAGCCACCUCUGUGACCUACACCACAGCUCUCGGCAAUGCCAGAUCCUUAACUCACUGAGUCACGUCGGGAGCUCCUCUAACAGGUGUCUCUAGCUGCAUCAUGCUGGACUCCUGAUCUCUGCGGCAUCGGGGCUGGAAUGCUGGGCUUGGACUUAGAGGACCUCUUGGUCCCAGCUGUGGCCCUUCCCCAGAGCCAUUGCCCUGGUUUCUCUUCCCCUCCGGGCCUGUCACUGUCACAGUCCGGUGACCUAGCCGAGUGGUGAGGGUGAACCAAAACAUGCCAGAGUUCUUCUUGCCACCUGUCAGGAGCUAAAAGCUAAGGAAUAUUUUUAUAUCAAUUCUGACCCGUAAAAAUACCUGGCGUUUGGCUUCAGCUGACGCAGAGGCCACCGACACCCCUGUGAGGUUUACUGCUGGCUUCUCGUGUCAGACUAAGCUUUUCCUUGAAGGCCAGGCUUCUUCAAAGUUAGAUAGCCUUGGUGGUGGUUCUUAAAAACACCUUUAUCAGGACUGAUUAAUCAAUUUUUGAUUUUCCUUUAAAUUGUGGGAUAUUAAAAAGGAAGGUAAAUCUGAAACUCUUCUAAAGUGAAAAAAUAAAAGGUUUAUUUAAAAAUCCAAAAAUAAAAGGGAAAAGGAAGAGAAGAAAAACCUGUCCUUAGAAAAGGUUCCAGGGAGCCCCUUUCUGGGUGUGAUUUUUUAAUUUGGUCCCUUGGGAUGUGAUGUGUGCCUUCAGUCAACCUUGAAAAAUGAACCUUCUUAUUUUUUCUGUCGUCAUUUUUUAUUUAUUUAUUUAUUUUUUGUCUUUUUUUUUUUUGCCUUUUUGUAGGGCCAGUCCCGUGACACAUGGAGGUUCCCAGACUGGGGGUCUAAUUGGAGCUGUAGCUACUGGCCUGCACCAGGGCCACAGCAGCGCAGGAUCCAAGCUGCGUCUGUGACCUACACCACAGCUCACUGUGAUGCCAGAUCCUUAACCCACUGAGCAAGGGCAGGGACCGAACCCACAACCUCAUGGUUCCUAGUCGGCUUCGUGAACCACUGCGCCACGGCGGGAACUCCUCUUUCGUCGGUUUUAGUGUCACUUCUGCAAAACACUUUUCUUGGUGACCUGAAAGCGUGUUUGUGCUGUUGAGGCUGUUACAGGAUAUUCGUGUGUAGCUGGUGCUUUUUAUGUUGACAGAAGAGUUCAAGAGUCAUUUAAUAAGACCUCAGGAUGUUCUCAUUUCUCAGUUCCUCUCUUCUUUUGAAAGCCCGAAAUCUUCCGUAGCCAAGAAUAAACAGAUUUUAGCCCCAAAGGGGUGGGCUUGGUUUGACGUCGAAGCAUCUGGACCUGAGGGAGAUUCAUCACUUGGCAGGCGGCCCCAUCCCGCCCUGGCUUUGGUUGGGUACCAUGGCACCCGCCCUCUCCCUGCUCUGUGCUCAGCCCAGCCCCUGCCAUGUCAUCCCACAUCCCUGCUAAAGGCCUUCUUUCCAAGGGCACCCACAGAGGUUCUGUGCCUUAAACCAUGCUCCCCUGGGGUCCUCUCUGCUAGGCUUGCGGAGAAGCUCUUUGCUUCUUGGGGUGCUGCCUCAUGAGGGUGGAGGCGUUCCUGUCGUGGCACAGCAGAAACGACUCUGACAAGGAUCCAUGAGGAUGUGGGUUCGAUCCCUGGCCUUGCUCAGUAGGUCAGCAAUUCGGUGUUGCCAUGAGCUGUGGUGUAGGUCACAGAUGCAGCUCAGAUCCCAUGUGGCUGUGGCUAUAGGCCAGCAGCUGUAGCUCUGAUUCAACCCCUAGCCUGGGAACCUCCAUAUGCUGCGGGUGUGGCCCU